UACGUAGGGUGCAAGCGUUAAUCGGAAUUACUGGGCGUAAAGCGUGCGCAGGCGGCUUUGUAAGUCUGUCGUGAAAGCCCCGGGCUCAACCUGGGAAUUGCGAUGGAGACUGCAAGGCUUGAAUCUGGCAGAGGGGGGUAGAAUUCCACGUGUAGCAGUGAAAUGCGUAGAGAUGUGGAGGAACACCGAUGGCGAAGGCAGCCCCCUGGGUCAAGAUUGACGCUCAGGCACGAAAGCGUGGGGAGCAAACAGG
rnacentral:rRNA from 1 species